CAUUCGAAUCCGUAACUUCUUAGUUUUAUUUUCUUUCUGGAAGAAUCAGUUUAUAUAGUGUCUAUAAUAAUUUAUAUUAGAAAUGACAAAAUGUUCAUUCAGCUCCGCAUUGCUUUUUAAUGCGGUGGAGGUGCGGAUUAAUGUUGAAGUUAUUUAUUAUAAAUGCAGUAUGUAAACAUAUAUGUAGUAGAUCUUCAUAUGUACAUGCGCAUAUUUAAAGAAACAUACAUACAUAAAUGUACGUAUACGAAUACAAAUAUUUGCAGUUAAGAAACUUUAACACAUCAGCGUUUUGAUAUUGAAUUCGUAAUAUUUUAUAGUACUGACGUGUAAACAACGAGAAGAAACCGAUAAAAAAGCUUAUCAGUGUCAUGCAAUAUAUUUUAUAAAGAGAAGAAACAAAAAAUAGUGUGACGUAGUGAAAGCAUUUUUAUAUAUAUACACGUCGAUCACAAGUUUUGCUAUUAAACUUCUUUAUGUAUAUAAUGGAAUCAUUUUAUGAUAGUGAUUUAAAGGAUGUUUGGGAUUCUGAUUUAGACUCAUUUAUGGUGUCCAAUGAUGUCAUAACUUAAUAUGCUGAUUUCUAUUAUGUAUUUUGAUGGAGUUUGGCUGACAUUAAAAGUUUUACACUUAGUGAAUUGCAUUGCAUUUUAAAUACAAGGACGAUUUCAGUAAUUUAAAUUUGGCAAGAUUUUCA